CUGAACCAGCCAAGUAGCGUGAAGGAUGACUGCCCUAUGGGUUGUAAACUUCUUUUAUAAAGGAAUAAAGUCGGGUAUGUAUACCCGUUUGCAUGUACUUUAUGAAUAAGGAUCGGCUAACUCCGUGCCAGCAGCCGCGGUAAUACGGAGGAUCCGAGCGUUAUCCGGAUUUAUUGGGUUUAAAGGGGGCGUAGAUGGAUGUUUAAGUCAGUUGUGAAAGUUUGCGG
rnacentral:rRNA from 1 species